UGCUUCUCGAGCUUGCUGGGUGGAUCACGAAGGCGAACGGGUGAGUAACACGUGAGCAACCUGCCCCUGACUCUGGGAUAAGCGCUGGAAACGGCGUCUAAUACUGGAUAUGUGAUGCGACCGCAUGGUCUGUGUCUGGAAAGAAUUUCGGUUGGGGAUGGGCUCGCGGCCUAUCAGCUUGUUGGUGAGGUAAUGGCUCACCAAGGCGUCGACGGGUAGCCGGCCUGAGAGGGUGACCGGCCACACUGGGACUGAGACACGGCCCAGACUCCUACGGGAGGCAGCAGUGGGGAAUAUUGCACAAUGGGCGCAAGCCUGAUGCAGCAACGCCGCGUGAGGGAUGACGGCCUUCGGGUUGUAAACCUCUUUUAGCAGGGAAGAAGCGAAAGUGACGGUACCUGCAGAAAAAGCGCCGGCUAACUACGUGCCAGCAGCCGCGGUAAUACGUAGGGCGCAAGCGUUAUCCGGAAUUAUUGGGCGUAAAGAGCUCGUAGGCGGUUUGUCGCGUCUGCUGUGAAAUCCGGAGGCUCAACCUCCGGCCUGCAGUGGGUACGGGCAGACUAGAGUGCGGUAGGGGAGAUUGGAAUUCCUGGUGUAGCGGUGGAAUGCGCAGAUAUCAGGAGGAACACCGAUGGCGAAGGCAGAUCUCUGGGCCGUAACUGACGCUGAGGAGCGAAAGGGUGGGGAGCAAACAGGCUUAGAUACCCUGGUAGUCCACCCCGUAAACGUUGGGAACUAGUUGUGGGGUCCAUUCCACGGAUUCCGUGACGCAGCUAACGCAUUAAGUUCCCCGCCUGGGGAGUACGGCCGCAAGGCUAAAACUCAAAGGAAUUGACGGGGACCCGCACAAGCGGCGGAGCAUGCGGAUUAAUUCNGAUGCAACGCGAAGAANCCUUACCAAGGCUUGACAUAUACGAGAACGGGCCNAGAAAUGGUCAACUCUUUGGACACUCGUAAACAGGUGGUGCAUGGUUGUCGUCAGCUCGUGUCGUGAGAUGUUGGGUUAAGUCCCGCAACGAGCGCAACCCUCGUUCUAUGUUGCCAGCACGUAAUGGUGGGAACUCAUGGGAUACUGCCGGGGUCAACUCGGAGGAAGGUGGGGAUGACGUCAAAUCAUCAUGCCCCUUAUGUCUUGGGCUUCACGCAUGCUACAAUGGCCGGUACAAAGGGCUGCAAUACCGCGAGGUGGAGCGAAUCCCAAAAAGCCGGUCCCAGUUCGGAUUGAGGUCUGCAACUCGACCUCAUGAAGUCGGAGUCGCUAGUAAUCGCAGAUCAGCAACGCUGCGGUGAAUACGUUCCCGGGUCUUGUACACACCGCCCGUCAAGUCAUGAAAGUCGGU
rnacentral:rRNA from 1 species